ACCGGCGGCUCGAGUGGUGGCCACUAUUACUGGGCUUAAAGCGUUCGUAGCUGGCUUGUUAAGUCUCUGGGGAAAUCUUCCGGCUCAACCGGAAGGCGUCUCAGGGAUACUGGCAGGCUAGGGACCGGAAGAGGUGAGAGGUACUCCAGGGGUGGGAGUGAAAUCGGGUGGUCCUGGGAGGGCAGACUGUGGCGAAGGCGUGCUACCAGGAUGGGACCGACAGUGAGGCACGAAAGCGAGGGGCGCAAACCU
rnacentral:rRNA from 1 species